rnacentral:lncRNA from 1 species
UUCUGGUCCAAAGAUGGCUGCCACGGCUCCAGGGCUCGUUGCUUCCUUGUUCACAUCCACUAGCCAUCCAGGGCAUGGAAGGGAGGUGCACACCCGCUGUGGCCACCAGCUGCUGCCUGCAGGGCUCCUCGUCUCCAUCGAGCAGCUGUGAACCUCGCCGACUCCCAGGAUUUGUAAUCCCCACUUUCCCGUACCUAAGAGGUCAGAGAAGGUGGUGUGCAGCCACAGUUGAGGACUUCUCCCUGCGGCAUGAUGGUGGCUCAGCAACGCUAGGUGGUUGUGGAGAGGGAGGACCAUGGGCACAGCUUGGAAACUGGAAAUCCACAAAAGGUUGUUCGAGAAAUGCUCUGGGUUUGUUGGGCCUGAAACAGCAAUAUUUUUAAAAACCCCAUCUGCUGCUCAACUAAGUUUAAAAAUACCCCUUUAUAUUUUAGAUAAUAAAGCUCAAAAUUAUUCACUAUAUUAGAUACUGCUUAAUAAAAUCAUGGCCUAAUGAGCUGCCUAAUUUGUGUGUGCCAGGUUUCAACCGUCUGGGACCUGCUGGAAUAUGCUCUGAUACUAUUGAUUCCAUUGCAGGUGGAAUAAGCCUCCAUUCUGUUGCCAUGGAGGAGGCAAGAAGUUGAAUUUUCAU